GACGAACGCUGGCGGCGUGCUUAACACAUGCAAGUCGAACGGUAAGGCCCUUCGGGGUACACGAGUGGCGAACGGGUGAGUAACACGUGGGUGAUCUGCCCUGCACUUCGGGAUAAGCCUGGGAAACUGGGUCUAAUACCGGAUAGGACCACUGCCUGCAUGGGUGGUGGUGGAAAGCUUUUGCGGUGUGGGAUGGGCCCGCGGCCUAUCAGCUUGUUGGUGGGGUGAUGGCCUACCAAGGCGACGACGGGUAGCCGGCCUGAGAGGGUGACCGGCCACACUGGGACUGAGAUACGGCCCAGACUCCUACGGGAGGCAGCAGUGGGGAAUAUUGCACAAUGGGCGCAAGCCUGAUGCAGCGACGCCGCGUGAGGGAUGACGGCCUUCGGAUUGUAAACCUCUUUCAGUAGGGACGAAGCGAAAGUGACGGUACCUAAAGAAGAAGCACCGGCUAACUACGUGCCAGCCGCCGCCGUAA
rnacentral:rRNA from 1 species